CAAAGGCAGCUAAAUAUAGGUUUUAGUAAUAAAAAAAAUUAAUAUUUCUUCAAUAAUCAUUUGAACAGCAUUUUUGAACAAAUCAAGUCAAAAUUACAUUGUAACUGUUAAAUAGAGUAAAGAAGGUCAAAACCUAACAUAAGUUAACUAUCCCUCUAAAGAACCUGGGAUUUGUUCCUUUAUUGCUUUAAAAAGUGAUGGGUUGCCAAUUUUUGUGGACUUUACCACAUAGCCUUUGGAAUCCUUAUUAUAUAGGCUAUUGUUUUACUAACUAAACUGACCUGACUGUCCCUCCCUCCCAUGUCAAAACAUGCGCGUCACACGCUAUAUGGCUUCCACAGAACUGAGAAGUGAACUUUAAAACUUUGUAAACUGAGUUCAUUGUGUGUUAAAUGGAUUUAAGCAAACAGUUAAGCGGAUAUAUGCAACAUACAGUGAAGACCGACUGACUGGGGUGGAGAAAUGAAGAAUGGCAGUGAGCACUUUGACAGCAUAUGUCGAUUCAGUGUGUGGUUCUGUGAUUGGACUCGUGCUGCUGGGUCGAAGACAUGCUGGUAAGAGUUCAGCGGGAGACCUCAUCCUCGGACGCAGUGAGUUUGAGGCUGGGAAGAAGACGACUCGGUGUAUGAGGAGAUACGGCUGGGUGGACGGCGUGAGGCUGGCUGUGGUGGACACUCCGGGCUGGAGUCUCUUCGGUUUGGCUGACGGCAAACAGGUGAAACAGGAGAUCCUGCGCAGUGUGAUGUUGGCCCCUCCUGGAUAUCAGAUAUUUCUCCUUGUUAUCCCAGUGGAGUCUUUCAGCAAGAGGGAUGGCCGUGCUAUGGAGAAAUAUCUGGGUGUCCUCGGGGACAUGGUGUGGUCACACUCUCUGGUACUCUUUACGUGGGGAGAUGAGUUAAGAGGCACGAAUAUUGAAAAGCACAUUAAAAAGAUGGGUGAACAUUUGCAGAGGAUCUUGAGAAAGUGUGGCCACAGGUACCAUGUUGUGAACAAUAAAUGUCCAGAAGACGACACUCAAGUCACUGAGCUGAUUAACAUUUUAAAGCAAAUGUGUGCCAGCACUGGUUGAACACAGAGAAUCAACCUAUAGGCCUAUUUAUGAAAUAUAAUCUCAUUGUAAAUUUAUUAUUGAGCUUUUCAUUCUUUCAUCUGUCCUUUACUGUCCUGUCACUGAUUCUUGAGAGAUGGGACAAAACAUGUCCAGCAACUGUAACUGCUAUUAGGUUUAAAAAUAAAAAUAUUUUCUAUUGUAAAUGUUAUGAGCACUGUAAAAAAAAAUCCUAAUUUUACAGAAAAUAACUGUGAUUUUUUUUUUUACGGUCAUUUUCUUUUAUUUUAAAUUAUACUCAAAACUCUAUAAAGUUACAAACAAUAUAUGUAAAUUAACAACUCGGCUGUUAUUUUAAGUAUUAUGACAUUAAUGAAAAAUAUAGUAAUUCACAUAUUUUUUUACAGAAAAUUUACAUAUAGUUGUGUUAAUUCAUUCAUGUGUGCUUUUUCUGGUUAAAUGCAAGAGAUUCACAUUUUACAAUUAAUGUGUUUUGUUAGUAACAAUUCAGGAUAUACAUGAAAAACAAUGGUGUUUUUUUUUGUAAGAGUGUUUUGUACUUUAUUUCAAUUAGGAUAUUUUACAUUUAUUUUACAGACUUUUGUUGGCAGCCUUUGCUGAAAGUCAUUUGACCGUUUUUUUUUUGUUUUUGUUUUUUUUAAGAUUAUGUUUUUCAGUGAAGGAGUUUUAUUGUAAUAAUUCAGGGAAUACCUAUAAAAUAACAGUGUUUUUCUGUAAAAAAAAAAAAAAAAAAAAGUUUAAUGAAAAUUUCUGUUCAAGUUUCUUGCACUUUAUUUAAAUUAGAAUAUUUUACUUUAAUUUUAAGGUUUUUGUUUUUGCAGCCAUAGCUGACAGUCUGAUCAUUUUUUUCCGAUUUAUUUUUUUACAGUGAGGGAUUAAUAAUAGACUGUAUCUAUCACAAUUAUCCCCUUCAAUUUAACUUUAUCAUUACUAUAUCAAAUGUAUGACACAUACAUAGACUCUGGAAAGAAUCAGUGAAUCAAGAUGCUCCAUGAUGAUUGAAUCACCAUCACUAAAUAACCAAAUUCAUCUGAUCAGAGUUUGUCUUGUACUUUUUGCUGUAAUAAACAUGUUUUGAAAACACA